rnacentral:rRNA from 1 species
UAACGCGUUAAGUAGACCGCCUGGGGAGUACGGUCGCAAGAUUAAAACUCAAAUGAAUUGACGGGGGCCCGCACAAGCGGUGGAGCAUGUGGUUUAAUUCGAUGCAACGCGAAGAACCUUACCUACUCUUGACAUCCAGAGAACUUUCCAGAGAUGGAUUGGUGCCUUCGGGAACUCUGAGACAGGUGCUGCAUGGCUGUCGUCAGCUCGUGUUGUGAAAUGUUGGGUUAAGUCCCGCAACGAGCGCAACCCUUAUCCUUGUUUGCCAGCGAGUAAUGUCGGGAACUCCAGGGAGACUGCCGGUGAUAAACCGGAGGAAGGUGGGGACGACGUCAAGUCAUCAUGGCCCUUACGAGUAGGGCUACACACGUGCUACAAUGGCGCAUACAGAGGGCGGCCAACUUGCGAAAGUGAGCGAAUCCCAAAAAGUGCGUCGUAGUCCGGAUUGGAGUCUGCAACUCGACUCCAUGAAGUCGGAAUCGCUAGUAA